rnacentral:rRNA from 1 species
GUGAGGAAUAUUGGACAAUGGGCGCAAGCCUGAUCCAGCCAUGCCGCGUGCAGGAAGACGCAUCUAUGGUGUGUAAACUGCUUUUGUACGGGAAGAAACACUCCCUCGUGAGGGAGCUUGACGGUACCGUAAGAAUAAGGAACGGCUAACUCCGUGCCAGCAGCCGCGGUAAUACGGAGGAUCCAAGCGUUAUCCGGAAUCAUUGGGUUUAAAGGGUCCGUAGGCGGUUUAAUAAGUCAGUGGUGAAAGCCCAUCGCUCAACGAUGGAACGGCCAUUGAUACUGUUAGACUUGAAUUACAAGGAAGUAACUAGAAUAUGUAGUGUAGCGGUGAAAUGCUUAGAUAUUACAUGGAAUACCAAUUGCGAAGGCAGGUUACUACUUGUGGAUUGACGCUGAUGGACGAAAGCGUGGGGAGCGAACAGGAUUAGAUACCCUUGUAGUCC